AGCAUCAGUUAGCGGACCAAAUGGAAGCGCCUCUACUGGCUGUUUGGUAGACCGACACUAGACUAGAGGAUGUCUUAGUGCUGCAAUGUAAACCUAAAACUGUUUCUAUAAAACUGCAAUGUUUUACAUUGCAGCACUAAGUGCAAUAGGGACAUUCUACCCAGACCAUUUCAAUGAGCUUAAGUAGUCUGGGUGUCUAUAGUGUGCCUUUAAUAAAACCACUCAUUACAAAUGGGCAGGUACCUCCAUGUAAGAGGUGGCUUGGAUAUGGUGCAGUCUUUUCCAAAAUUUUGU